UGUGCCUUGGCAGUCCAGGGCCUACCAAGCGAAGACGCUUAGCUGGUCUGAGAGGAUGAUCAGCCACACUGGGACUGAGACACGGCCCAGACUCCUACGGGAGGCAGCAGUGGGGAAUAUUGGACAAUGGGCGCAAGCCUGAUCCAGCCACGCCGCGUGAGUGAUGAAGGCCUUCGGGUCGUAAAAGCUCUGUGGGGAGGGACGAAACGGCGCCAUGAAGAGUGGCGAUUGACGGUACCUCCUUAGCAAGCACCGGCUAACUUCGUGCCAGCAGCCGCGGUAAUACGAAGGGUGCAAAACGUUGCUCGGAAUCAUUGGGCGUAAAGCGCACGUAGGCGGCUUUCUAAGUCGGAUGUGAAAUCCCUCGGCUUAACCGAGGACGUGCAUCCGAAACUGGGAGGCUUGAGUAUGGAAGAGGGUCGCAGAAUUCCCGGUGUAGAGGUGAAAUUCGUAGAUAUCGGGAGGAAUACCAGUGGCG
rnacentral:rRNA from 1 species